AUUAAUUCGAUGCAACGCGAAGAACCUUACCAAGGCUUGACAUAUACUGGACCGCAUCAGAGAUGGUGUUUCCCUUCGGGGCUGGUAUACAGGUGGUGCAUGGUUGUCGUCAGCUCGUGUCGUGAGAUGUUGGGUUAAGUCCCGCAACGAACGCAACCCUUGUUCUAUGUUGCCAGCACGUUAUGGUGGGGACUCACAGGAGACUGCCGGGGUCAACUCGGAGGAAGGUGGGGAUGACGUCAAAUCAUCAUGCCCCUUAUGUCUUGGGCUUCACGCAUGCUACAAUGGCCGGUACAGAGGGUUGCGAUACUGUGAGGUGGAGCUAAUCCCUAAAAGCCGGUCUCAGUUCGGAUUGGGGUCUGCAACUCGACCCCAUGAAGUCGGAGUCGCUAGUAAUCGCAGAUCAGCAACGCUG
rnacentral:rRNA from 1 species